rnacentral:rRNA from 1 species
UGGGGAAUAUUGCACAAUGGGCGCAAGCCUGAUGCAGCCAUGCCGCGUGUAUGAAGAAGGCCUUCGGGUUGUAAAGUACUUUCAGCGGGGAGGAAGGUGUUGAGGUUAAUAACCUCAGCAAUUGACGUUACCCGCAGAAGAAGCACCGGCUAACUCCGUGCCAGCAGCCGCGGUAAUACGGAGGGUGCAAGCGUUAAUCGGAAUUACUGGGCGUAAAGCGCACGCAGGCGGUCUGUCAAGUCGGAUGAGAAAUCCCCGGGCUCAACCUGGGAACUGCAUUCGAAACUGGCAGGCUAGAGUCUUGUAGAGGGGGGUAGAAUUCCAGGUGUAGCGGUGAAAUGCGUAGAGAUCUGGAGGAAUACCGGUGGCGAAGGCGGCCCCCUGGACAAAGACUGACGCUCAGGUGCGAAAGCGUGGGGAGCAAACA